rnacentral:rRNA from 1 species
UGAGGAAUAUUGGUCAAUGGGCGAGAGCCUGAACCAGCCAAGUAGCGUGCAGGAAGACGGCCCUAUGGGUUGUAAACUGCUUUUAUGUGGGGAUAAAGUGCGUGACGUGUCAUGCAUUGCAGGUACCACAUGAAUAAGGACCGGCUAAUUCCGUGCCAGCAGCCGCGGUAAUACGGAAGGUUCGGGCGUUAUCCGGAUUUAUUGGGUUUAAAGGGAGCGUAGGCCGUUUGGUAAGCGUGUUGUGAAAUGUAGGAGCUCAACUUCUAGAUUGCAGCGCGAACUGUCAGACUUGAGUGCGCACAACGUAGGCGGAAUUCAUGGUGUAGCGGUGAAAUGCUUAGAUAUCAUGAAGAACUCCGAUUGCGAAGGCAGCUUACGGGAGCGCAACUGACGCUGAAGCUCGAAGGUGCGGGUAUCGAACAGG